rnacentral:rRNA from 1 species
CCUACGGGUGGCAGCAGUGAGGAAUAUUGGUCAAUGGACGCAAGUCUGAACCAGCCAUGCCGCGUGCAGGAUGACGGCUCUAUGAGUUGUAAACUGUUUUUGUACGAGGGUAAACCCCGAUACGUGUAUCGUGUUGAAAGUAUCGUACGAAUAAGGAUCGGCUAACUCCGUGCCAGCAGCCGCGGUAAUACGGAGGAUCCGAUCGUUAUCAGGGUUUGUUGGUGUGAAAGGGUGCGUAGGCGGUUUGGCAAGUUAGAGGUGAAAGGUCGGGGCUCAACCCAGAAACUGCCUCUAAUACUGUUGGACUAGAGAAUAGUAGCGGUAAGCGGAAUGUAUGGUGUAGCGGUGAAAUGCUUAGAGAUCAGACAGAACACCGAUUGCGAAGGCAGCUUACCAAACUGUAUCUGACGUUGAGGCACGAAAGCGUGGGUAGCAAACAGGAUUAGAUACCCGGGUAGUC